rnacentral:tRNA from 1 species
UGUCCAGGGAUGGGAAUCGAACCCACAGUGUUCCGCUUACCGGGCAGAUGCCAUGUCUACUAGGCUUCCCAUCUCUGGAC